rnacentral:rRNA from 1 species
GACGAACGCUGGCGGCGUGCUUAACACAUGCAAGUCGAACGGAAAGGCCCUGCUUUUGUGGGGUGCUCGAGUGGCGAACGGGUGAGUAACACGUGAGUAACCUGCCCUUGACUUUGGGAUAACUUCAGGAAACUGGGGCUAAUACCGGAUAGGAGCUCCUGCUGCAUGGUGGGGGUUGGAAAGUUUCGGCGGUUGGGGAUGGACUCGCGGCUUAUCAGCUUGUUGGUGGGGUAGUGGCUUACCAAGACUUUGACGGGUAGCCGGCCUGAGAGGGUGACCGGCCACAUUGGGACUGAGAUACGGCCCAGACUCCUACGGGAGGCAGCAGUGGGGAAUAUUGCACAAUGGGCGGAAGCCUGAUGCAGCAACGCCGCGUGCGGGAUGACGGCCUUCGGGUUGUAAACCGCUUUCGCCUGUGACGAAGCGUGAGUGACGGUAAUGGGUAAAGAAGCACCGGCUAACUACGU